rnacentral:tRNA from 1 species
GCCUUCAUAGUUCAAUGGAUAGAACAAAUCUCUCCUAAAGAUUAGAUCCGAGUUCGAUUCUCGGUGGAGGUACCA